UACAGAGGUCUCAAGCGUUGUUCGGAUUCAUUGGGCGUAAAGGGUGCGUAGGCGGCGCGGUAAGUCAGGUGUGAAAUCUCGGAGCUUAACUCCGAAACUGCAUUCAAUACUGCUUCGCUCGAGUACUGGAGAGGAGGCUGGAAUUUACGGUGUAGCAGUGAAAUGCGUAGAUAUCGUAAGGAAGGCCGGUGGCGAAAGCGAGCCUCUGGACAGUUACUGACGCUGAUGCACGAAGGCCAGGGGAGCAAACGGG
rnacentral:rRNA from 1 species